AUAUAAUGUACAUAUAAUAUCAUGAUCAAUGGCUAACUAGUUUGACUGUUAUUACACUUCACCUUGUUGGCAGAACUGGAGAACAGCUGUUAAUUAACUAAAGUCAUUUUUGUAAUGAGCUGUUUCUUCAAAUCUUUCUUAGUUGGCUGAUUCCCUUAAAAAUUGUACAAACUCGUGAAAAUACGAGUUCAAGCAUUAGGCCUACUGUACUUGAAACAGUCAUAGUCCGUAGGAACUGGGAAUCACAGCCUAUUUAAGCCAGUCAAACCGUAGGAAUUUUACCAAGUAAGACUGUUGCCAUUUAAUUACUGAUAUAGUAAUAUUAGAUAUCAUUUAUAAGGAAGAUUAUAAAGGAUUUUCAUUAUUUUGAAGAAUAAAAGUAUAAUUUGUUAUAACCAUG